rnacentral:rRNA from 1 species
UACAGAGGGUGCAAACGUUGUUCGGAAUUACUGGGCGUAAAGCGUGUGUAGGCGGCCACGUAAGUCGGAUGUGAAAGCCCUGGGCUCAACCCAGGAAGUGAACUCGAUACUGCGUGGCUCGAGUACUGGAGAGGUUGGUGGAAUUCUCGGUGUAGAGGUGAAAUUCGUAGAUAUCGAGAGGAACACCGGUGGCGAAGGCGGCCAACUGGACAGAUACUGACGCUGAGACACGAAAGCGUGGGGAGCAAACAGG